CUUCCCAUUCAUUGGCUGCUGUUGUCUUUCAAUGGUAUGAGCAGUUAUCAGGGAUAAAAUAGCCUUGGGCCAUUGUAAAAUGAGUUGGAGUGACUCCUUGGUCUCUUCUAUGUGGUCUAGACAUGG